GCUCCCGUCACAACGUCAGAACCCAGCCUACUGGUGCUGAGGCUGACGGGGAGGAGGAUGAAGACGAUGGCGGUGAUACAGGAGCAAGGCUGAGUUCGCUCUUCCUCUUCUCUCUUCCCCCCCUUUUUUAUACCCCCAUCCAAUUUCCAGUUUGGACCACAUCAAAUAAAAGGGCACCCUUGCGACAUAUAAGCAGAGGCGGUUCGGACCGUUCGGACGCCGUAACGAUCUUCACCGCCCUCGUGUCUCCUGAGCCGAGACCGAGAUGGGGAACGAGGCGAGCAUGGAGGGCGGCGGGCAGCCCGGAGAGGCCGGGAUGAUGGGCUCCGUGAUGCCCGGAGGACCCGCGACCGCAGGGCCGGGAGGACAGCACGUGAAACCCGUCAACGGCUCGGCUGCCGGCGGAGGGAUGGGAGUCGGAGGCCCCGGGAUGGGGAUGACGAGGGGACCAAUGGCUCAGAUGGGUAGCCCCAAACCUGGCAUGCAACAAGGAGUUCCAGGGGGAGGAGGGAUGGGAGGUAUAGGAAGUGGGAUGGGUGGAGGAAUGGGAGGUGGAAUGGGUGGAGGAAUGGGAGGUGCAAUGGGAGGCGGAAUGGGAGGCGGGAUGGGAGGAGGGUUGGCCACUGGAGGUGGAAUAGGCUCUCGAAGCGGUGAGCCUUAUCGCCUGGCGACCCAUGACACUCCAACCUCCCCCCGUCACGUGCAGCCAGGCCAGGGGUCCAGCACGGGGCAGGGCUCCACCCACGGGAUGAGUCACAGCCCAGCUGGUACCGGCGGCAUAGGCGCCCAUGCAGGACAGAGUCCCGGCCAGCAUGCCUCCCGACGAAACCUGCAAGUCGACUUCAACAGUUCGGGCGGCUCCAGAACGGGCCGAUCCCCCUCGGUGUCGCCGGACCGCGGCAUGACACCCACCUCACCCUACUCUGUGCCACAGAUCGCGCCCAUGCCAAAGAGCAAACUGUGUCCAGUGUGCACCACCACAGAGCUCUCCAACCCACCAGCUGUGCCCAACUACAACACCUGCACGCAGUGUAAAGCCACUGUGUGUAACCAGUGCGGAUUCAACCCCAACCCACACCUCACUGAGGUCCAGGAAUGGCUGUGUCUCAACUGUCAGAUGCAGAGGGCUCUUGGCAUUGAUAUGACCACUCCUCGCUCGAAGAGUCAGCAACAGAUCCAUUCGCCGUCCCACCAAGCGAAACCUCUCGUCCAGCCUCAGCAGGCUGCACCUCAGCCAACACAGCCGACGACUGCAGCACAGCCCAAACCUGUGGCACAGAGCCAGCCCACCCAGCAACAGCAGCAGCAACAACCACAAACUCAACUCUAUGGACAGAAUCAGUCCUACUCUCAGUCACAGCCAUAUCCACAGUCCCAAGCAUACCCCCAGUCACAGACAUAUUCCCAGUCCCAGUCAUACCCGCCAUCUCAGCAGUAUCCUCAAUCCCAGCAUUAUCCCCAGGUCCAGGAGCAUCCCCAGUCCCAACAGUAUCCUCAGUCCCAACAGUAUCCCGAGUCCCAGCAGUACCCCCAUUCACAACAGUACCCCCAGCCCCAACAGUACCCCCAGUCCCAGCAGCAUCCACAGUCCCAGCAGUAUCCGCAGUCUCAGCAGUAUCCCCACUCUCAACAGUACCAUCACUCCCAACAGCAUCCGCAGUCUCAGCAAUAUCCCCAGGCUCAACAAUAUCCUCAGGCUCAGCAGCAACCUUACCAACAGUCCCAAUCCGGACCCCAGGCUCAGCAGCAGCCUUAUCAACAGUCCCAGUCGGGACCCCAGGCUCAGCAGCACCCUUACCAACAGUCCCAAUCUGGACCGCAGGCUCAGCAGCAGCCUUACCAACAGUCGCAAUCCGUGCCCCAAGCUCAGCAGCAGACUUACCCAGCAUCACAGUUCGGACCUCAGGGUCAGCAGCAGCAGCAGCAGCAGCAACAACAGCAGCAGCUGCCUUAUCCACAGUCACAGUCUGGACCCUUGGGCCAGCAAUAUCCACAGACUCAGCAGUAUCCGCAGGCUCAGCAGCAGCCUUAUCCACAGUCCCAGUCAGGGCCCCAGACACAGCCUCAGAAUUCACAAGGCCUACACAGUCACACUUCUUCCAGUGGCCCCCAAAGCCAGACGGGUCCCUCUCAUCAGGGUAUGAGAUCUGACUCAUAUUCCCAGAAAGGUCCAAGAGCUGGUGGAGGUUCUGCAGGAGGCCCCAACCAACCUGGUGGCCCAAGGAUCCCCCACCCUGGUGCUGUACCCCUCCCUGGCUUGACAAAAGCACCCUCUCAACCCGAUUUGGGUCGUGGCUCUCCCAUGCACCAGUCUAUGGCACGGCACCAUGACCACACCAGAAGCGCUGGCUCCUCUCCAGCUCACAAGCCCCAGACCCAAGCUCAUCCUCCAGCCCAGGAUGGACUGACCAAGUUAUUUGGUUUUGGAGCUUCCUUGCUCAACCAAGCGAGUACACUGAUCAAUGUGGACCCUUUGCCCACCUCUUCCACUCAUCCCAGUCCCGCACGAGGCAAGGUGGUGUUCAGUAAUGCGACCUCUGACAGCAAGCCGCCACAACAAGUGGUCUCAGGUGCUAAACAAUUUGGCAUGGGUGGCCCCCAUGUCCCGGGCCAAAUGGGUGGCCCCCAUGCACCAAACCAAAUGGGUGGCCCUCGUGCAUCGAACCGAACGGGCGGCCCCCAUGCACCGAGCCAAAUGGGUGGUCCGCAUGCACCGAGCCAAAUGGGGGGUCCGCAUGCACCGAGCCAGGUGUUAGGGCCGCACGCACCAAAGCAACAGCAGCAGACUGUACCCCAACAACAAGGAAUGCCGCAACAGCAGUCGCCCUCCCUUCAACAGAAAGAUCCACAGCAACCUCAAGGGCAGCAACACCGACAAAUGCCAUCACAUGUGCAGAAGGCGGAGCUAAAGCAGGAGCCUGCAAUUGCUCCCACCGCAGCUCCGGAGCCAGUGAAGCCCAAAGCGAACUGUCCUCUGUGUAAAACAGAGCUAAACAUCAACACAUCUGACCCACCCAACUACAACUCAUGCACGCAAUGCCACACUCAAGUGUGCAACCUGUGCGGCUUCAACCCGACACCACAUCUGGUUGAGAAAAAAGAGUGGCUGUGUCUCAACUGCCAAACCCAGCGGUUGAUGUCCGGGGGAGGUCUCGAUGAGCCUCCUCUCGCUGUUCCUCACCCGUCCCCAAAACAUCAGCUCACUGGGUCACCACGCCACCAGGCCCCAGCGGGUCAACAAAGUCCUCUCCACAAAGCCGCCAUUCAGCAAGAGUCCAAGCCAGCCCAACCCCAGACACCAAAACCACAGUCGGGAACUGGAGAUAGCGAACAGUUUGGGCCGAAUGCUGCCAAGCUGCCGACAGACACCAAGAACACCGUAGCAGUGACGUCAACUGGACCAACAGUCGAGACCCAGAAGAAGACGAAAACCACAGAUGAAAAGCUGAAGAUGGAGCCUGAAAGCCAAACUGCCAAAGAGAGCAAAACCACAUUCAAGAAAGGAGAUCCAAUCACACCAAUCAAGGAAAUUAAGAAGUCAAGGCAUUACGACGAAACAAAAAACAGCACGCAUGACUUGUCACGCAGCCCACAGAGCCUCAGUGAUACCGGUUACUCCUCUGACGGCAUCUCCAGCUCCCACAGCGAAAUCACAGGACUAAUUCAAGAGGAGGAGAUGAAACUCAGUGAGAGGGGCAUCAGCGGGCGGGGCUCUCCACCAAGCCCUUCAGAAAUUACCAAACUGGAAAGCUCUGUGAGGCCUUUGCUGGAGAAGAGCCUUUCCGAAGACAAAGCGGACAGAAGAGGAAGGAGGCUAAGUGAUAGAGACUUGGAUGACAGAGGGAAGCAGCGCCCGCGCUCUUUGUCAAUCCCACCGGAUGCAUACGACUCGGAUGAGGAACUUGAAGACAUAAUGGAGGAAGAAGAAGAUGGAGGAGACUGGGAGAGUAAACGGAAAGAAGGGAAGGAAGAGAAGAAGGAAAAGAAGAAGAAGGACAAGGACGGUGAGCCCACAGAGAUGACCGAUGAGGAGUUCAUGAGGAGACAGAUCAUGGAGAUGAGCGCUGAUGAAGGAAAUGAUGAGGAGGAAGAAAUGGAGGAAGAUGAAGAUGAGGAAGAUGAAGGCUACGGCUAUGAGCGAAAGAAAAGCCACCAUAAGCACAUCAUACCCGACACGGCAAAAGAGAAACGCCGCCUACAGCACCACUCUAGCAGUUUUGAGGAGGAAACAAAAAGCUCCACUGAUGUUUACAAAAGCUCAGUGGAGGAGGGUGAGGAAGAUCUGAUGGCGUCACAAGGUGGUCUGAGGCGCUUUAAAACAAUCGAACUCAAUAACACCAACAGCUACAGCAGAGACAUUGAGCUCAGUCACGAAAAUGACUUGAGCCUUGAUCGAGAACCCGAACUGGAGAUGGAAAGUCUGACCGGCUCUCCCGAAGAGCGCUCUCGGGGUGACUACUCUUCCACUCUUCCGCCAACUUCCGCAUCCUCUUACGGCUCAGGCCAGUCUCCUACGUCCAUCUCGUCAAUGGAAGAGGACAGUGACAGUAGUCCCAGCAGGCGACAAAGGUUGGAAGAGGCUAAGCAACAGAGAAAAGCGCGGCAUCGUUCUCAUGGCCCUCUCCUUCCUACAAUUGAAGACUCUUCAGAAGAAGAUGAAUUGAGAGAAGAAGAGGAACUCCUGAGAGAGCAGGAGAAGAUGAGAGAAGUUGAACAACAAAGAAUCAGAAGCACGGCGCGCAAGACUAAGCGCGAUAAAGAGGAGCUGAGGGCUCAACGACGUCGAGAAAGAUCCAAGACACCGCCCAGCAAUCUUUCACCCAUUGAAGAUGCUUCGCCGACUGAGGAAUUGAGACAAGCUGCCGAAAUGGAAGAACUCCAUCGUUCCUCUGCCUCUGAAUACUCCCCUCAGAGUCUGGAUUCGGAAGCCGAGGGCUAUGAGUCCAAACUUUACAAGUCAGGCAGUGAGUACAACCUUCCUACCUUUAUGUCCCUUUACUCACCAAUUGAAAAAUCAUCGAUCACGACCACAAUAGCGCCAUCGAGCACUUCCAAGCCAUUGAAGAGUGCUGAGGAGGUAUAUGAAGAGAUGAUGAGGAAGGCAGAGCUGCUUCAAAAGCAACAGAAACAGCAACAGCCCUCUCCAGUGAGACAUGGUCAGUACUACGAAGAAGACAUUAACGGACAAGGUUAUGAUGACGAGUAUGACUAUGAACAAGAUCAAACGGGAUAUGACAAUGACGCAGUUGAGAUGGAAGCUGACAUUUAUGAGGAGAUUCGACAAACAUCUCAGAACAUCACAAAGAUGCAGCAGGCCACUGAUGAGCAAGUAGAAAUUGAGAGCUCCUACCCAGACAAGCAAUUUCUCGACACAGGUUCCGCCUUUGCAAAACUACUGGAGCAAAGCAAUGCCCUUUUAACUCCAGGAACCAGCCCCACCCAGAUCUCCGCACCUGUCUCAUUUGCUGAAACGGGAGGACGCAUCCCUGAUGUCCGAGUCACUCAACACUUUGCUUCAAAGGACAGACACAAAGACAGAUUAAAAAACCAAGCGGGGAAAAAUGGAAUAACCCCAACAGUAGCUGCUACUACAAUAGCAGCUUAUGGAGUUUAUGCUAGAGAUGCUGUAACAAUUUCUCAGACAAGUACAAGCAACACUAUAACAUCCACCCAGUCUUCUAUUUAUAGCAGACACGCAAGUCCUGCCACAUCUUCAGCGACAGUCUCAAGUGUGUGCAGCAAGAUUGCAGAGAUUACCCAAGCCUAUAGUCAAAGAGAGAUCAUCACCAGAAGAGUAGGGGACACUCGAGGUGUAGCGCUUCGAGAUAGCCCAGCAGCUGUCAACGAGCGAAUCAAUGAGCCACGCUCUCCAAAGUAUACAACUUAUUACAGGAGCACCAGCCCUCCCCUUUCUCCAUCCCCACCACCGCAAAGUCCUACGCACUCCCCUUCCAGGAGAGCAACAGCUGAGUUCUCUACACAGACUUUCAAUUCAGCACUACAAAUGGACUCGGGAGGUUCUGGGCCUACUUCACCAGUGAUGGCUCAGGGAACCCAAACUUCACAUAGAUCGGUCUCCCCACGGCUCUACCGGCAGCAGUCAUCCCAGGAUGUGCCAUACUCUCCACCUGCAAGUCCAGCUCGUCCAAUGACUGUCAACACGGCGACAUCGCCUCUGUCUUCACCCACACGAUUUAGCCGUCAAUCGACAUUCGAUUCUUAUUCACCGUGUGGUAGCCCUCCAGAUACGCCUCCUUACCAACAUUCACCGACACGCAGCUUCUACAGAACACAAAGAAUCGAAAAGGUAAAUGUUGGAACAAGUAUGGUUACCACGGCCAGUAUUUACACACGAGGUUCCAUUUCUAUGGAUAAUAUCUCCCUGUGCCGCAUAUCUACAGUUCCAGGCACUUCUAGGGUUGAGCAGGGCCAUAUGAUACAAGGUGGAAGUGUUGUGGACCUCAGAACAGUCACCAAACCUACCCCAAUCAUCAUGACUGAUCAAGGAAUGGAUCUCACCUCUCUAGCCACUGAAAGCAGAAAAUACCACGGUGGAUCAGAGGGGAGCAGACAGUCGACAAUCGUACAACCCCUGAUUAUGAACCUAAAUGCCCAGGAGACCAUCACACCAACCACUGUGAGUGUAACUGUGGCAGCUUCCAUGUUUAUUUCCCAGCCCAAACAACCAAUGGUCUAUGGCGAUCCCUAUCAAAAUAGAGUAGAUUUAGGUCAGGGUAUGGGUUCGGCUGUGUGUUUUUCCCAGAACAAACCCCCUCUAUCACCUCCAAUGGACCCAUCAAUACCAAAAAUUGAUGCAAAACUUGAAGACCUGAGUAUUCAACAGAAAGAACUACAAAAACAGCAAGAGAAGUUGCAAAUGCAGCAAGAGCUUCUCGAGCAGCAGUUACAGCAACAUCACCAUAUACAACAACAACAGCAACAGGCAUCUGUUUUAGCCCGGUAUAACCUUUCUGGCCAGAUCUCACCCUUGCUGAAAAAAGACUUGCUGGUCAGCCAAACCAGCACUGCCUCCACUGUUGUCAGUGCUGUAUCACCUGUCCUCAACCCCGAGAUGUAUGGCACCGGGCCCAUUGAGCUGAAAGGAAAGCCCAGUCCUCCUGGCAUGAUUACAGGCGGGAAAUCGCCACAUAGUAUGGUAGUACAGAUAGAUGGUGGGCAAGAGCAAGUCAGGGCAGUGACCCAACUUAUAAAAGUAGAGGAAGGACAGGAUGCUGCAGAUCUGUCAGGAGGCCAGAUUAAACCUGACAACCAACCAGCUUGCUGCGAUGUUGUUUACAGACUGCCCUUUGGUGGAAGCUGUGUUGGUGGUUCAGAGAAAGAGGGCAUAAGGCCUCCUUCCGCUCCACCUCUGUCCUAUGAUUCUGAUCAAGAAAGACAUCCUGGAAAAUAUCGUGAGUAUCCAAUGGAAGGACACAAGUCCUACACAUUGCCUUAUCCUGGUAGGCUUCAACCUUCAAUGUCUGAUACAAACCUGGCUGAGGCAGGGCUACAAUCCUACCAUUCGAAACUAGAACCACAUCUUCAAGCCAAAGGAGAACUUGCAAUGGAUCUAAACGCUGUAAAACAUGGCUAUGGGGGAUAUAUUGGGAUGCAGUAUGGCUCAUACACAGAUUUGCGUCAUGGAGGAGAACUCCCUGCCCAAACAUUGCCUAUACGUCGAUACAAUUCCUUGUCGAACAUCAAUUCCGACUAUGGCUACUCUCCUCGUGACAUUGCCAAUUUCCAGGAAGCUAAUUUAGCCCAGUACAGCGCCACAACUGCCAGAGAGAUCAGCCGAAUGUGUGCCGCACUCAAUUCGAUGGAUCGCUAUGGAAGCAACCCAGACUUGAUGCAGUUUGCGAGUUUGGGCAGAGGAACCAGCCCCGCAACUUCAAGACUAUCAGCUGGCCUUGGCUUGAGACAAAAUCUGCUUUUUGGAUUAGAUGGGAAGCCAUUAUCCCACAACCAAGCACUUACAAACCUCAUCAAUGCCAGACAGGCCAGUCUUAGGGCCAUGUACCCUGCAGCCAUUCGCUCCUCAGAUGGGAUGAUCUACUCCACCAUUCAGACACCCAUUGCUUCUACCUUACCUAUCACAACUCAACCCGCUUCUGUUCUUCGACCGUUAUUGAGAGGUGUUUACAGGCCUUACUCAUCUCCCAACAUGACACCCGUGCCCCUAUCUAGUCUCACCAGAUUACCAAUGACUCCCAGAAUGUCUGGACAGGCCCCAAUCCGUUACCUUGGACCGGGUCUUCUCCAAACAACGUCAAUCUCUGCUACCAUUGCUGAUGCAAUAACAACCUUAGCACCAACGAGUGCCCAGGUAUCCGUUCCCUUGACAGUUCCACCAUCUACAGUCCAAGAUGAACCAGUUUACCUUGGUAAAGGGGCUGUUGUAACCACUUCAUCUGUAGAGGUCACAUCAGCUGACGCACAGCAUCAACCGAUAAACAUGUCCCAAGCGCACUUGAACAGUCAACAGCAACAACAACAGGCACAAGCAACAACAGGUCAAUGUUACACAACAGUCGCCCCUCCAGAUUCCUCGACCAUUUUACCAGUAGCGGGGACUCUACCUCCUUUCCCCCCACCUGGUGCUGUACACAAAGAGGGUGAAACUGAGGCAGAAAGGCUGCAUCGGCAGCAGGAGCAGCUUCUGCAGAUGGAAAGGGAGCGCGUAGAGCUGGAGAAAAUCCGGCAACUGCGCCUGCAGGAAGAGCUGGAGCGAGAAAGGAUUGAGCUGAAGCUGCACAGAGAGAAGGAGCAUAUUCUGGUGCAGAGAGAAUUACAGGAGCUGCAGAACAUCAAGGAACAGAACAAGCAGUUGAAACUCUUUCAAGUUAACUCUGUUAAACAGGUUCUACAACAGCAGCAACAAGAACGGGAGAAACAGCUUGUUGUCCAGAGGGAGCAGCUCGCCCAGCAGAAGUCCCAGCUUGACCAAAUCCAGUCCUUGCAGCAACAGCUCCAGCAGCAGCUUGUAGAACAGAAGCGACAGAAAACAGCCGCCGCGGUCCAGAACUUGCAGAUGGAUAUGAAUGGACAGCCUCUACACCCUUAUACUGACCAUCAAAUCGGAUCCCGCUCCCUCCCCAACUCCUCCUCAGAGAUGUGUCUGAGGAGUCAUGAGGAGCAUGUGGAGAACCAGAGCAACAUGAGGAAGCACAACUCCAUGACCAGGCUGAGCAGAGACAGCUUGGACGGAGAAGGCGUGGUCUUCCACGUUUCCCCUCGCAGGAAUGUGGACAGUUGUGUGCAGACAGAUGAUGAAGAUGGGGAGGAGAGGUACAUGAUGCGUCAUCGAACCAGGCGGCGUGGUCGCAGCGUGGACUGCUCAGUUCAGACAGAUGAUGAUGACGACAAGGCUGAAACAGGGCAGCCCGUCCGCCGCCGACGCUCUCGUUACUCACGACAUUCCGAAUCCAGCGCUACUGGCAGCGGAACUGCUACAAGCACGGCUCCUACUGACACGAAAACCAGCACCUCCAAAACGGUAUCCUCCAGCAUAGCCAUCCAAACCAGCAGGGAAAUGUCCUGCCAAACCGAAGUGGAGCACCUCGGAAGAGUUUCGCCCGCAAUCCAUGUGACGUUACCAGAUCCAAAUAAAGUAGAAAUCGUGCACUACAUCUCAGGACCUGAACGGACAAAAAAGGGACAGUCGCUAGCAUGCCAGACUGACCCAGAAGCCCAGUCACAAGGUGUUGUCGCUCCCCAGCUGAGCAUACCAACCACGGUGAACCCGUAUUCUUCCUCCACCAGCAGCGGAACUCAACAAUCUGGUUCCACUGACAUAUCGACACAGCAGCGCCAGCAGCAGCAGCAUAUCACAGCAAAUGCAGCCAAGUUUGAGCGCCGACGCCCUGACCCGCUCGACAUUAACUACCAGCCCAACAACCACCUGCACAAUGAGUCCAUCUCGAGCAUCAUCCGGCAGCAGCAGACAGUCCCAAAAUCCCCACAGGUCCUCUACUCACCUGUCUCGCCAGUGUCACCUCAUCGCCUGUUGGAGAAUUCACUAUCAAGUGAGAGGCUGAACAAGGCCCAUGUCACACCUCAGCAGAAAGCAUACACUGCAGAGUCCCCCCAGCGACAUCCCUCAAUGCCCAGACCAAUCAAGACCGCCCAAAGAUCUAUGUCAGACCCCAAAUCUCUUAGUCCUACUACCGAUGAGCACACGAAAGCUAGGCUGUCCCUCUAUCAACAACAAGCCCUCCAGAACCAGCUGGCAGCCCUUCAUCAGAGCUCGCUGCUCCGUAAGGUCAAGAGAACCCUGCCCAGCCCUCCUCCAGAAGAGACGACUGCAUCAGUUCAUCUGCCUCUGAUGACACCUGCCCUCCAACAAGUCUACUUGCCAUCCGUGCCCAGCCUCAAGCCCAGCUCUAGGUCUGGCCUAGCUGCCAAAGCCAGCCUUCUCAAAGACCUCACCCAUGAGCUGAAGGCAGUGGAGCAAGAAUCGACAAAGCUGAGAAAGCAGCAAGCUGAACUGGAGGAGGAGGAGAAGGAGAUUGAUGCUAAGCUGAGAUACCUUGAACUAGGGAUCCACCAAAGGAAAGAAACGUUGGUCAAGGAGAGAGAGAGGAGGGAUAUUGCUUAUCUGAGAUGUAUGGGUGAUGCUCGGGACUAUAUGUCUGAUAGCGAGUUGAACAACCUACGACUGGCAGCUGCAGCUGCAUCGCAUGAGACCAAUGGACUGUUGACAACAAGACCAAGUACUGCUCCCCUCAGCCAGUUUAGCAAUGAUCUGAACACAGCAGCUCAAUACACGCCAACAUCAUCUUUCCAUUCUCAAUACCCCCAGAGCCAACCCGCAGCACCAACUCAAUCAAGUUUACCCUUCCAGUCCUCAACAUUCAACCAGGCUCCUUAUCCAACAGUGUCCCAGUCCCAGGCCUUACCACAGCCAGCACCCCUCCAGAGUCAUGUUCACCCCUCGGGACCAUCCUACCAAACUCAAACCUCAUACUCUACCCACAGCUACCCCCAAACUCAACCCCCGUACCCUCAAACAGACAUAGGGUUGCCAAGUGCACCGCAACCGCAGCCCCAACCAGGGCACACAGGUUUUGGGCCCGCACCACCUGGUCAGCCCCCAUACCCCACACACAGCUCACCUUAUCCGAGUGCUGUGUCCUCUUACCCCAGCCAGAAUGCCCCUUACCCUGGGCAACCUCAAACAGAUAUUUUGACAGUACAUCAAGGAAGACCCAGGCAAACGUCACUGGCUGAUCUGGAGCACAAGAUGCCCACCAAUUACGAGACAAUCAGCAACCCUACAGUCGUGGUUACCACCACGGCGCAGGAGAGCAACUAUUCCAGUUCAGCCGCCUCAUUUGGUCAAUACACUGGAACAACAACCAUGGCCAACUAUGGACCCUAUGGCUCAGCGACCGUAUCCAGUAGUUACGGUGGGUUUUCUACCAUUCCACCCAGCACUUAUGGACAGUAUACAUCAACAACAGUUAGUUCGUAUGGCCAGUACACCACAACCACUGCUAAUGCAUAUGGCUACACAGCAACAACAGCCAGCUCAUAUGGACAGUACACGUCAACGGUUUCCAAUGCCUAUGGCCAUGGUGUGGAUAGUCCCUCCACCUACAGUACAGCAGAUGGCAUGUACGGGGCACCAGGUUUAGAACAAAAUAUCCCAAGGAACUACAUGAUGAUAGAUGACGUAAGUGAGCUGACGGCAAAAAACGGGCUGGGCACGACAACAGGGGACAUGAUGCAUCACGGCGGCACGGGGCGUUACCCUGGCGACACCCAUGGUCACAGCGGCACCAUUGGCAGCACGACGCGUGGGGGAACUGGCAGCGCCAUGUACGGCAGGGCACCCGAGGAGGAGGCAGCGAUGCAGGAAGAAUUGUACGACCACCAUGGCAGGGGUAAGAGCAGCUACAGGCACGGACCUCUAGGGGGCAGCAGCAGCGUGAGCACUAGCAUGGGUGGGGGAUCGCCCUAUUACUAUGACUACGACUACAAACAUGGCAGCUUUCGAUCUGGGGUGCAGAAAUCGUCGUCCCCCAGAAGCCUUUUGGCUCCUGCUGUCAUGUCCACCAAACGCAGCAAGCACAGGAAACUGGGCAGCAUGGAGCAGAAAAUCUCCAAAUUCUCCCCCAUUGAGGAGGCUCGGGAUGUCGAGGCAGACCUGGCCGCCUAUUCUUCAGCAGCUAGUGGGAGUUACUCCUCCCACAUCCGAGGACGGCAGUUGAUAGAGGACUACGGCUUCAAGAGGAGCACUUACGACAGUGGCAGUGGCAUCACCCAUGGUAGUCGAUACUUUGGCUCAAUGGGAGAGGAGGACGACAGGAUUUACUACACUUCCACUGGCCGUUCCCGCUCCACCGGCUACGGCAUGGACAAGAUCACUGCCAGAGACUACUCUGGGUACCGCAGCAGAUCCUAUGAGAGGGAUGACCGAUCCUACCGAUCUGGCUAUAGUCGAGGGCGCCACCCAACCAGGCAGUACUCUGAAGAGGAGAGCCCGCUCAGUCCCCUGGGGAGAUUCAUGGGCUCCGGGCGAUCAUCAAGCUUAGGUCCCGACCCAUAUGACAGCCGCAGCACUAGAUACCAUUACUAUUAUGGCCAGUAUGGUUCCAGUCACUCUUUGCCAGAUGUGCAAGACCACAUACGGGACCUACCCCGGACCCAUGUCUACAAGUCGGAUGAUACAUACAUAAUAGACGAUUAUCAUUGUGCUGUGUCAGACAGCGAAGCCUACCAUCUGGGCCAGGAAGAGACAGACUGGUUUGAGAAGCCACGUUCCAGUUCUCGACAUUACGGCAGCAGCCACGCAUCGGGAAGGAGUCGUCAUGGUGUCAAACACACCUAUCACGACUAUGAUGAGCCGCCUGAGGAGGACCUGUGGCCUCAGGAUGAGUACGGCCAUGGAGGACGACACUCUUCGUCCACCCGCGACCACCGACAUCAUGGCAGCUCAAGUCGGCACUCAUCCUCUUCACGUCAUUCAGAUGAACCAAGAUCUUCUCGGUCAUCUAAGGGACACCCAAAAGACCCGUCCGUGCGGCACGAUCCUUCAGGGCGGUCUUCAUCAUCAGGAAGACGUGGUGAUUCUAGGUCGGGAGCCUACCACUCGUCGGACUACUCUCGGGAUCCGUCCGGCCACCAUCACAGUCAGAGAUCUUCUAGGCAAGGGGAUCCGCAUCGCUCAUCACGCAGCAAGUCUCAACAACAAGUCGACAUGCAAGGCCAGCCAACAGGUACUUCCAGGUCUGGCUCUUCUUCAAGGGGACAGGGCCCUACAGGUGGUCCUACAGGAUCCGGGCGACAGGUUGGUCAGGUUUCCCAAAACGAUGGUGUCGCAGGACAGAGGACGCAGCUCCAACAGCAAGCCCAGACUUCAACGGCAAGGCCGGGGCACCAAGGGCCCCCAACAACCACCGGUGCUCAGCCACAGCCCCCAGCCCAAGGACAAAGCAUGGGGGUGGGGCAGGGCCAGGCCAAACCCGGGCAAAUAGGAGCAGCGGGUGGAGCUAUGGGACAAGCCAGGCAGACAGGUCCCACGGGAACAACAACUGCCCCCAUGAUUGAGACACCUCCAGUGACGGCCAUCGGGGCAAAGGCGGCCCCCGUCAUGGCCUCAAAAGGAGCUCAACCGCCACUCACGGGCAUAGGUUCCAAAGCUGCUCCAAGACCCGGAGGCAUAGGCAGUGCGGCAGCGGGGCAGCCGGGUAUGGAGGGAGACAGCAUGUUGUCCAAAAUUCUGCCAGGAGGAGCUGCCGAGCAGGCUGGCAAACUCGGAGAAGCUAUAUCCGGCUUUGGCAAGAAGUUCACCUCUUUCUUCUAAAGUGCUAAAUAUAAGGACUAUGUAAAAUCUCAAAGCCAUGAGACCUCGUACCAGACAAACCUGCAACAACAUUCCUCUUGUUUUUCAUUCCAUGAGAGAGAGAAAGAGAAGGAGCGAGCAAAGUGCAGCCUCAAGCAUGCAAAUCAUUCCAGGGGUCGAAUCUUCAAUCCAAAAGGUCACCGUGACUCAUGUACAACCAGUCAAUCAUGUGGAUCCGGCGCAUCCGCAAGCAUGACUGGGAAAAGAUGAAUGAUGCAACGUAUGCAGACGACUUCAUCGUGUGCCACUGGGGGGACUUUGGCAUGCUUGGUUCUCAUCCAACAAAGCAGUUUCGCUCCUCUUCCUCUUCCUCUCAUCUGAAGAAUUAGGAAGAAAAAGGGACGUCGAAAAAAGUGCAGCGCAGGUUUUUCUGGUACCGACCACCUCUUUGUUUCUUCACGUGCCCAGUUCAGAGAAACGCAUCAAUGACGAAUGUCAACGGCGACGUUCUCUUUCGAUCUACAUUCCAGAUUAUGACUCCUCUUCCGCGCUUCGUCCAAUUCUGUUUUGUAAUCCCCAACCCCCCUCUAUUCUCCUCAAUUUGUCUUUCAAGAAGUGUAUAGUGGAGGGGGCGAGAGGGAGAAUUUGGAAUGCAUGGAACUUUAUAUCCAAGACCUUUACACUGUUGGUCAUCAUUGAACGGAGGCCAUAAAGACACUGGCAAAAUGCAUCCGAGCUCAACUACACAAACAGGAACGAAAUGGAAAUGAUGGGAUACUUUAAAAAAAAAAAAAAUGCAAAAAUUUGUAUUCAGAGGGAAGCCGCUUGGUUUUCAGCCAGUACGACAUUUUCUGUCGGUGUUGUUCUACGUUUCCCAUGUUUGCGUUGUUAUUUUGUUCCGUUGCCAGCACAGCCUUAAUUAUUUAUUUAUACGUUAUUUUCACGUGAAAGCGGACUAUUUUUUUAGGACAUCCAAGAACACACGUCAUUUUCGUAUUUCUGUCCGCUAGCAAUGGGAUUCAUUUCUAUUUUUGUAAUCAUCGCCUUUUUUUUCUAUUUGUGUCACUUUGGUUGCCAAGCUCCUUUGAUUUUUUUUUUUUUUUUUUCCUGUUCACAGUCGUGGAAUUCUGAACGAGAGCAAAGCAAUAGAAUUAAGGGAGCCGAGAUGGUCAAGAGCACAACGGUGUGUCAUUUGAAAAAGUAGAAACGUGUUGCCUCUAAAUUAUCAGUGAUUUGGCGCUCAGCAAUCAGCAUAUGAGGAAACUUAACACCCCCCUCCCCGGCCCCCAUCCCUUAACCUCAACCUCUCAAUGGUGUCCUCCGGUUGUGGCUCACUAAUACGGUCUAACAACCUGCUACCAAUCACGGUGGGACAUCUCUAGCCACGAGUCAUCAAUAUGGCCAAGAGCACCGCAGGCCAACAGAGAAGCAUUGAAGAAGUAGACACCAGACUUGGCAUCCUGCGAUGGCUUUCGGGGUCACUAUGGACCAACCUUGCCCCGCACUGCCACUUCCUCCCGAGUUCAGACCUCGCACUUGAUCAGCAUGUGUCUUCACUCAAGUCGAAUGUGCACGGCGCACAUGAAAGCACAUUUGAAAAUAGUGUCAAAAGAGGGGGGGAAAAAAGGAACCAAAAAUCGCUUUUUUUUUUUCUAUCACACCCUGACCUACAACCUAUCUCAGUUGUUAUGGAAACUACUCAGGUCAGUACCCUCCCUCCUGCUGGUGAUGCUCCUGCAGUGCAUUGUGGGAUCUGUGCUUUGCUUGUACGCCACACGACAGCAACAACAAACGUACUGUUGAGGCCAAACGUGAUGAGCAGAAAUCGAAACUUGUGUUGUAUAUUGUCCGCGUGAAUGCUCGCCGGGGACCUUCGCAUGCUGCCCGGCGUUGAUACAAAAUAGCCACAAAAAAAAAAAAAGACAAAUCUCAAAGUCACCUCUAUAUUGUUCUGUUCCUAAAAUUUGUAUGUAUGUGCGUGAGUGUGGCAGUUCUGUUCGUAUAUGUCCGCCGAUGAGGAACAUAAAAAGAAAAACUGUUCACUCGCCACAGGUAUGGUACGGGGCUAAAAAGAAAGGCGACCUUUCAUCUCCAAUCGUUCUAUGCAAUAAAUCCCAUUUGGUAACUGUACAAAUAGAAGUGAGAAUAGUAGGGGAAUACAAAUAAAACAAAACACCAUUGUCGCCAAACGCUCGGGUUUUGCCACUGUCAUUGAAUAAUAGUAAAGAUGUUUAUUUCAUUGACAGUGUGAUCAGCUAGGCUGAGUUUUGUGGUAUUUAAGGGAGCUCUUAACCCUCAUAAUCUUUUUUUGGGGGGUGGCGGGCGUCAAUUUAACCCCAUGCAACGUUUAAUUACGUUGAAGUUUCUCAUUCAUUGUAAUAGUUUCACUUAUGAAUUUAUUUUUUUUUUCCAAACUAAUCUUUUAUUUGGAGGGAGGGGUUCUCCUGUAAGAUAUAUUUAAGAUAUAUUGUAUGGGUAAAAAUUCAAGUGCUCUGUGAUUAAAUUGGCCCCGAGAAUACAAAACGUUUGUGAAGUUAAAUGUAACAGGAGAGUUCAAAUAAGUGAGGAGAAAAAAAUGAGAGCGAGAUAAGCAGAACACAUGCCCCCAGGCAUUAGCAGCAGAUCCCCGAUGUCACUCGUUACUGGUGACGUUGCUUUCAGUCUUGGUUAACUUGGCUGAGAUAUGUUUUCCAGAACAGGUAGCUUGUUGGGUUGAAGUAGGAAGAACAAAAAAGAGAAGCAAGAAAGGCAAAGCUGACAGCAGAACACGCAGUCAUCAGCAGAAACGUUGAGAGGUGUUCUCCAGAGAUGCAUCAAGAAAUUCAUAUAUAUUGAGAGAGAUUCUAUACAGAUGUCCGUUUAUUCCCAAAUGCGCUACGUCAUCCACGGCUGCUCAUACGGUGAAAAAAAAGGUUCGUCGCAUUUUGCUUCUUUUCUGAUGACAAAAGAAAUAAACUACGCGAGGGGUACAAAUAAUCGGAUCAAAGGAAGAGCAGAGGGGUUUUCCAUGAUUUAAAAGCAACGAUUACAUUCACCCUCUUGUUACGUUGUUUCUCGGGAGCAGUGACAAUGUUCCUUAAUAAUCCUAAUAAACAUUGUUUGGUAUCGAGUUAAAUGAACUCAACUGGCAAUUUUGUACAGUACAUGUUUUCACCGACCAAAACAUGUUAACUUCACAAUGUGUCACUUGGAGCGGUGACGUAACAGGAGUUUGAAAUGUAUACUGUCGAGAACGUGAGGGGGGGCAAGGGAAAGACGAGACAAUUGCUAUUUUUCUUUAGAGUAAAAAUACGUCAUUUUAAAGAAGUCUAUAUUUUGUGAAAUAUGAAGGAGGAUUAUUUAUUUCAGAAUUUAUUUUACGGUAAUGGAAGGGGACGUUGGACGGUUGGGAGGUUUCAGAAAGGAGGACGUCGAAGCCUAAUGUUCAAAAACAAUGUGACAGUGUUGAAAGUAUUAUUUCAUAUCGAGCUGGGUGGAGGCAAAACUUUCAAUGUUCAAAUUGCAGCGUGAGAAUCGUGGUUAUACUGACUCCGUUCAGUUUUGUCGUAUCAAAAGUCGUCAUAUUGACUCACCUUCUCAACAGGAUCGUCUCGUGGCUUCUAAAGAAUCAAUCGUUCCUAACUUUGCCAGCGUUGAGACUUCACGUUUGCUUGUCACAAAUCAGCCACUCAAGGUGACUUAAAUAUGCAUUGCAGCAAGGGCUUUUAUUCUUAACAGUGUAAUACUAGUCAUCGAAGAAAGCCAUUGAAGCAGUUGUGCUCUCUAUCUGCACUCUGUAGGUGUCUUGUCUAAUUCUAGGAACGUAAUAUAACUCAACUUGAGAAUGAAAAUCGCCAGUCCGCGGCAUGUUUGAAGCACAAAAGUAGACAACAAUAACACGUAUUUUGCGGAUGAUUCACAUUUUUGACAUUCAAUUUCCUUUGGACAUGAAAAGGAUCCAAAAAUCUCCCAAGAUCAGGUCAACUCUGCUUUAUGCGCAAAAUAGAACAGAAGACGGUUUGGAGUGUUUAUUACACUUUGAAGUCGUGAGCUGUCACUAACACCUUCUUUCUUUCAUUUUUAAUACUGUCUCUGGGUAGCCUCAGCAAUAACUGACCAGUUUUGUUUAAAAUGCAUUUUUAAAAUGAAGUUUACAUUAUUCAAUUUUUUUUAAAUAACAUUUGUUUUCAUGAUUUUACAGCUACGAAAAAGACCCAAGGUCUGCAUUUAACAAUGUUUACCGAUAUGUUUGCAGCCGUGAAAA